CGGGACUUUGCGAAGGUGAUCAACACACUGUCCAUCCUGUCACAAACACCGCUGGCCCUGCAGAGAGGAUUCCGGCCAUUUCCAGAUGAAGCAUGUGUCGGAGAUGAUGACAUCUACACCGGCCUUUCAGAUCAGAUC